AGGGAUCAUUACCGAGAUUAGGGCCCCCCCGGGGGCUCGACCCUCCCACCCUUUGUGUACAUACCCUGUUGCUUCGGCGGACCCCGCGGGAGACGCGCUGCGGUUGCGCGCGGAACCCGGCCCGCCAGAGGCCCCCACCAAUUCCGAAUGUAUCGGUGAUGUCUGAGUGUCAAACAUGCGAAAUAAACAAAACUUUCAACAACGGAUCUCUUGGUUCCG
rnacentral:misc_RNA from 1 species